CUCUCUAUAGACUAGUGGUCUUUACAGAAGGAGGUCUCUACUCUCUAUAGACUAGGGGUCUCUACAGAAGGAGGUCUCUACUCUCUAUAGACUAGUGGUCUCUACAGAAGGAGGUCUCUACUCUCUAUAGACUAGGGGUCUCUACAGAAGGAGGUCUCUACUCUCUAUAGACUAGGGGUCUCCACUAGGGGUCUUGGCUGACGGCUGGCGUAGAGGGAGGGGGUAGAGUGUGCUGCAGUAACCGUGGCGAUAGCAGGCAGAAGUGACAGCUGCAGGUGUGGACAGACAUAGGGCUGGAGAGAGGGAGCAACAGGCAGAACGAACGGCAACUGUUGGCCUAAUGCCUGGGGAUAAAUAAUAAACCAACUGUGAGAUAAGCACUGUUCUUCAGCAGGGGGAGAAAAGGCUGCUAGAAAGGGGGGGAAAUGCAUGACUUUUAAAUCCCGGCACCCGCAGUUUGGCACAGAAGAUUAGGCUCUGAAGUUUAAUUAAGCAGAUGUCGCCAUUAAUAUUUCAACUUCUGAGCAACCUGAUAUUGGACUGCGUGGUGAUGUCAUAUGCACAGGCAUCAGUACAUAAGCUGGAGAGCAAA
rnacentral:lncRNA from 1 species